AUUGAACGCUGGCGGCAUGCCUUACACAUGCAAGUCGAACGGCAGCACGGGAGCAAUCCUGGUGGCGAGUGGCGAACGGGUGAGUAAUAUAUCGGAACGUGCCCAGUCGUGGGGGAUAACGUAGCGAAAGCUACGCUAAUACCGCAUACGAUCUAUGGAUGAAAGCGGGGGAUCGCAAGACCACGCGCGAUUGGAGCGGCCGAUAUCAGAUUAGGUAGUUGGUGAGGUAAAGGCUCACCAAGCCGACGAUCUGUAGCUGGUCUGAGAGGACGACCAGCCACCCUGGGACUGAGCAACGGCCCAGACUCCUACGGGAGGCAGCAGUGGGGAAUUUUGGACAAUGGGCGCAAGCCUGAUCCAGCAAUGCCGCGUGCAGGAUGAAGGCCUUCGGGUUGUAAACUGCUUUUGUACGGAACGAAACGGUGAGCUCUAAUACAGUUUGCUAAUGACGGUACCGUAAGAAUAAGCACCGGCUAACUACGUGCCAGCCGCCGCAGUAA
rnacentral:rRNA from 1 species